CGCACCUUGCGCCCUACGGGGCAUGCCGGUUUGAGCGCCUUUUAACCCUGGACCUCGUCCGAUUUGAGGAUUGCCGCAAGGCUUCACUCUGAAUGCAUGAGCGAUGGAAGUGUUGCACCGUGUAAUAAGAUUUCAUGGUAAUGCGCGACGAUCGCUUCGAACCGCCUUCGGGCAAACCCAAUGCUAGGCAUCAAAGUGGUAGGACUACCCGCUGAACUUAA
rnacentral:misc_RNA from 1 species